rnacentral:rRNA from 1 species
GACGAACGCUGGCGGCGUGCUUAACACAUGCAAGUCGAACGGAAAGGCCUGCUUUCCCUUGUGGAUUGCGGGUACUCGAGUGGCUAACGGGUGAGUAACACGUCAGUGAUCUGCCCCCAACUUGGUUAUAAGCCUGGGAAACUGGGUCUAAUUCCCGAUAGGACUGCAGGGUGGUGCCUGUGGUGGAAAACGUUUUUCUAGUGGUUGAGGAUGAGCUGGCGGCCUAUCAGCUUGUUGGUGGGGUAAUUUACUACGAAGGCGGCGACGGGUAGCCGGCGUGGGAGGGUGGACGGCCACAUUGGGACAGGGACACGGCCCAGACGCCUACGGGAGGCAGCAGAGGUGAAGAUAGGACAAUGGGCGGAAGGCUGAAGCAGCGACGCCGUGUGGGGGAUGACGGGAUUCGGGAUGUAAACUCCUUGCGACCGCGAGAAAGCUACCUGGCUGGGAGGGUGGUGACGGUAGUGGUAGAAGAAGCACCGGCUAACUACGUG